UGUGCGUAUGUCUUGCUGUCAAAAUUUUUCACUUUUCCACAGUGAAUUUUCUUCCCUGGCCCAAAGAGGACAUCAAUAUCGCCCGCACCGUCCUCAAAUCUUCAAUGGGAAAAAUGCGACAAAUGGAGCAAAAGUACGACCUGUCCAAGUGUCACACGUACAAUGAGAAAAGCUCGUUCGCGUUCUGGGUCGUGCUGGUGCUGCUGUUCUGCUUGGCGCUGGGCAACCUCUGCCUAACGCUGUCCAUCACGGCGAUACUGCGAAUCUACCGCGGGAUGGAAAACAUCGAGCUGAUACAGGACGCCGAUUCGAUCAAGUUUUACGGCAACAUCGAUUUCGACCGGGUGUACAAACAGGAUGGGCUGUUGGAGAGCUUCUACGAUGAGCCGCUGGAGCUGGCCGGCGACGAUGGGGACAUCUCGGUCAAUCUCGUCAAUCGGAAUGGCAAUACGCACAACAAAAUUCAGCUCACGCGCACAGGCACCUUCCUGAAGGGCAUCAACCAUUUCGAUGUGAAGGAUCCGGUUACGGGCAGGCAGGUGUUUGGGACGUUGCGCCCCCACUACAACAUGCCCCAGGGAGCGAUGAUCCUGCAGGCCCAUCUGGUGAACAGUGGCCGCAUUGCGGCGCCCAUAAACGAUACGCUGAAGCUGCAGACGCGCAACAAGCUGACGCUCAAGGGCACGGAAGGGAUUCGAAUGGAGGCGAAGGAGCUGCUGUGGUCGGCGGACCAGAACAUCUUCCUGAAGUCGGACAACGGUAGCACGAUGCUGGUGGGUGGUAAUGGGGUGUGGGUAAAUGUGAACAACUUGCCGGUGGUUAAGAGCGAGCACGGCGUGCGGACAGGAUCGGCCGGCCAGUACAAGCUGUGCGUGUGCCAUCCUCAGGGGCGCAUCUUUCGCAUGGCCGUGCCCAAGUCGCACAAUGCUCGGGUGAACUGUGCCCAUUUCAGUGGCAAGGAGAAUCCAUGCGCAUAGGGAGCGAGCGAGCGGGUAAAGGACAGUAUUGGAUAGAGCAAUAGGGGAAAACGCAUAUCGGCCAUAUAGAGGUAGAGCUCGGUUCAGUUAGGUAGUGAUAGUUGCUCAACGAAAAGUAGUUUCUAGUUGCUGUUUAUUUCAAUACUUAAUAUAUAGGAGUA